GGGCUGAUGGCUCAGUGGUAGAGCACUUGCCUUGCAUGCAUGAGGCCCUGGGUUCUAUUCUUCAGCACC
rnacentral:tRNA from 1 species